CUUGUACUCCCCCCGUCUCAAAAUUCUUGUCUUAAAUUCAUCUAGAUACGAAUGUAUAUAAUAUUAAAAGGUGACUUGAUACAUCCAUAUUUAGAUAAAUCUAAAACAAGAAUUUUGGAACGAAGGGAAUAGUAC
rfam:Triticum aestivum genome assembly, contig: Triticum_aestivum_CS42_TGACv1_scaffold_093093_2AL